AUGACAACAGAACCCACAACAACCAUGACUUUUAUCACCAUCUUCAUCUGGACACUUGCUUUCUACAUCGAAGAAUCCAGAGGACAGGUCACUGUGACCCAGACUCCUGCAGUGAAAACUGUUCUCCAAGGACAGACAGUCUCUCUGAACUGUAAAGCCAGCAGUAAUGUGUAUAGUAAUUGUUACAAUGGUCAGUCAUGGAACCAAGAGUGUCUAUCCUGGUACCAACAGAAACCAGGAGAAAAACCCAAACUAAUGAUGCUCCCAGGGAACACACUCCAUUCUGGGACUCCAUCUAGAUUCAGUGGCGGUGGAUCUGGGAGUGACUUCACUCUGACCAUCAGUGGAGUCCAGGCUGAAGAUGCAGGAGAUUACUACUGUCAGAGUUUACACAGUGGUCCAGUGUUCACACAGUGA